UACAGAGGGUGCAAGCGUUGCUCGGAAUUAUUGGGCGUAAAGCGCGUGUAGGCGGCUUUGCAAGUCGGGUGUGAAAGCCCUCAGCUCAACUGAGGAAGUGCGCCCGAAACUGCAGAGCUUGAGUACCGGAGAGGAUGGCGGAAUUCCCCAAGUAGAGGUGAAAUUCGUAGAUAUGGGGAGGAACACCGGUGGCGAAGGCGGCCAUCUGGACGGAUACUGACGCUGAGACGCGAAAGCGUGGGGAGCAAACAGG
rnacentral:rRNA from 1 species